UGUAUUGGGGUGAAGCUAACCUUACGGAACCGAAUUUCGCAACGCUUUUUAGACUCCUGCAUCUCUACCAGCCACUACCAAACGCUUGUCGGUACGUCUCUUGGCAAAGGUCCAGACUGAACAUCCCACGUCUUGGUUUGACUUCCUGGUACAGGAUACUUGCACUUAGCAUGGAGUGAUGAAGCAGAGCAGUGUACUUUUAUUAAAUGUGCAGAUUUUAGCAGUAUAACAGCAGUUCAUUAAAGAAACAUGUGUGCUGAAAAUAAACUGUUCUUACCCACA